rnacentral:piRNA from 1 species
UAUGGGUUGUCUAAAGAGAGUAAUCGG